rnacentral:rRNA from 1 species
GACGAACGCUGGCGGCGUGCUUAACACAUGCAAGUCGAACGGAAAGGCCCUGCUUUUGUGGGGUGCUCGAGUGGCGAACGGGUGAGUAACACGGGAGUAACCUGCCCUGGACUUGGGGAUAACUUCAGGAAACUGGGGCUAAUACCGAAGAGGAGCUCGUGCAGCAGGGGGGGGGUUGGAAAGUUUGGGCGGAUGGGGAUGGACUCGCGGCUUAUCAGCUGGUGGGUGGGGGAGCGGCUUACCAAGGCUUUGGCGGGUGGCCGGCCUGCGAGGUUGGCCGCCCACAUUGCGCCUGCGAGACGGAGCAGACGGCUACGGGAGACAGCAGUGGGGAAUAUUGCACAGUGGGCCGACGCCUGUUGCAGAAACGCUGCGUGCGGGAUGACGGCCUUCGGGUUGUAAACCGCUUUCGCCUGUGACGAAGCGUGAGUGACGUUACUGGGUAAAGAAGCACCGGCUAACUACGUG